GUUGUCGACAUCUAGGCACUUGAUGCUGACUUUCUUGUUGCUUCUUCUCACAAGGCAUUGGAUUCUUGUAGAUUGAUCUAUUGUUUGCAAUGCCUCCAUUCUUAGAUGGUGGAGAUUUCUUGACCAUUCCACAUUUGCACAACCUCGUUCCAGGUU